rnacentral:rRNA from 1 species
CCUACGGGUGGCUGCAGUGGGGAAUAUUGCACAAUGGGCGCAAGCCUGAUGCAGCCAUGCCGCGUGUGUGAAGAAGGCCUUCGGGUUGUAAAGCACUUUCAGCGGGGAGGAAGGCGUUAAGGUUAAUAACCUUGGCGAUUGACGUUACCCGCAGAAGAAGCACCGGCUAACUCCGUGCCAGCAGCCGCGGUAAUACGGAGGGUGCAAGCGUCAAUCGGAAUUACUGGGCGUAAAGCGCACGCAGGCGGUCUGUCAAGUCGGAUGUGAAAUCCCCGGGCUCAACCUGGGAACUGCAUUCGAAACUGGCAGGCUAGAGUCUUGUAGAGGGGGGUAGAAUUCCAGGUGUAGCGGUGAAAUGCGUAGAGAUCUGGAGGAAUACCGGUGGCGAAGGCGGCCCCCUGGACAAAGACUGACGCUCAGGUGCGAAAGCGUGGGGAGCAAACAGGAUUAGAUACCCCAGUAGUC